CAUUAAAAAGAAGAUAUACAUUAGUCAAUUGUAUAAAGUAAUUUUAUAUUGUGAAUUUCAAUCAUAUACUAUAAUUUUGUUGAUUUUAAUGAAAAUUAUAUUAAAAGUUAUGUGAAUGGUGGUGAGUAAUUUGUGAUUAAGUGUAAAAAUCUGGCAACUCAGAAUUAAAAUAAGAGUUUACUCAUAAAAAUAUGGUCUUGUUUGGGGUCACAUAAGAGUUUACUCAUAAUUUGUGAUUAAGCUUCCAUUGCAGAUUUCGUUUCAUUUGUGAAAAGACGAACCUGAAAGAGAGAGAAUCAGAGCAAGAAGAAGAAGAUGAUCUAUCGGAAGUGGAGUCUCCUUACCGGCCCGGUCACCAUCCUCGGCGGCGUAGUCGUCGCCAUCGCCGCCGCCAACGUUAUCUUCGUCAAGAAUGAUCCAUUCCUCCAACCAGAGGAGAGGAACUAUGAAAAUCAGCCUGCUACCAAGUAGGAGAAAAGAGACAACAGAAGUUUGCGUUUUGAUGUCAUUUAAACCCUGAUUUAUGAGCUCUGUAUACUGUUUUGCAAGAUACGCUCUCGCUAGUUAAUAAGAUUGAGUUUCUGAAUGAAGUCUGGACUCUGGAGCAUGGGCCCUCAGUUUAGAACUAACCUUCCAAUGUUCUAGAAAACUGGUUCAUACUUCAGAGAUCCUUACUUGUCUCUUUUGUACAAUGUCAACUGCAAAUGCUUAAUGUGGUUUCUAAUCUUCCAUUUCUUUCGUUUAUCCCUAUAUAUUUACUGUU